rnacentral:rRNA from 1 species
UGGGGAAUAUUGCACAAUGGGCGCAAGCCUGAUGCAGCAACGCCGCGUGAGGGAUGACGGCCUUCGGGUUGUAAACCUCUUUUAGUAGGGAAGAAGCGAAAGUGACGGUACCUGCAGAAAAAGCACCGGCUAACUACGUGCCAGCAGCCGCGGUAAUACGUAGGGUGCGAGCGUUGUCCGGAAUUAUUGGGCGUAAAGAGCUCGUAGGCGGUCUGUCGCGUCUGCUGUGAAAACCCCGAGGCUCAACCUCGGGCCUGCAGUGGGUACGGGCAGACUAGAGUGCGGUAGGGGAGAAUGGAAUUCCUGGUGUAGCGGUGGAAUGCGCAGAUAUCAGGAGGAACACCGAUGGCGAAGGCAGUUCUCUGGGCCGUAACUGACGCUGAGGAGCGAAAGCGUGGGGAGCGAACAGGAUUAGAUACCCUGGUAGUCCACGCCGUAAACGUUGGGCGCUAGAUGUGGGGACCAUUCCACGGUUUCCGUGUCGCAGCUAACGCAUU